GGCAAGAUGGCCGAGUGGUUAAGGCGAGAGUCUUAAGUAAGCGGGCAAGUUCUUGCCUGACACUUGGAGAUCUCUUAUCGAAAGAUGCGUGGGUUCGAACCCCACUCUUGCCA